UACACCAUUGCAAAAAGCUGCAUCUCGCGGUCAUGUUGAUAUCUUACAACUGUUGCUUAACCAUGGUGCCAGUGUGAACGCGGUGAACAAUGAGGGUUAUACACCAUUGCACUACGCUGCAUAUUGGGGUCAUGUUGAUAUCUUACAACUGUUGCUUAACCAUGGUGCCAGUGUGAACGCGGUGAACAAUGAUGGUGAUACACCAUUGUACGAAGCUGCAUUAAAUAAUCAUGUUGAUAUCUUACAACUGUUGCUUAACCAUGGUGCCAGUGUGAACGCGGUGAGCAAUAUGGGUGAUACACCAUUGCACGAAGCUGCAGAUGAAGGUCAUGUUGAUAUCUUACAACUGUUGCUUAACCAUGGUGCCAGUGUGAACGCGGUGAGAAAUGUUGGUGAUACACCAUUGCACUACGCUGCACGUGAAGGUCAUGUUGAUAGCUUACAACUGUUGCUUAACCAUGGUGCCAGCGUGAACGCGGUGAGCAAUUUUGGUAAUACACCAUUGCACGAAGCUGCAGAUGAAGGUCAUGUUGAUAUCUUACAACUGUUGCUUAACCAUGGUGCCAGUGUGAACGCGGUGGGAAAUGUUGGUGAUACACCAUUGCACUACGCUGCACGUGAAGGUCAUGUUGAUAGCUUACAACUGUUGCUUAACCAUGGUGCCAGCGUGAACGCGGUGAACAAGCAGGGUCAUACACCAUUGC